AUUUAAUAAUAAAAUAUAGGUUUAAUCAAAUUUUAUUAUAUUUUAAAUUGAUUAAUUAAAAGGGAAUCAGGUAAGAUUCCUGAACUAUCCCGUAGCUGUAUUAGAGGAAUUUAAGUACAUUAUGUCACUUUUAAUUAGGGAAGACGUACUUAAAUGAUGAUUCUUAAGUCAGAAGACCUGCCUAUAUUUUGCACCAUUA
rnacentral:ncRNA from 2 species